GACGAACGCUGGCGGCGUGCCUAAUACAUGCAAGUAGAACGCUGAAGCGAGGAGCUUGCUCUUCUUGGAUGAGUUGCGAACGGGUGAGUAACGCGUAGGUAACCUGCCUUGUAGCGGGGGAUAACUAUUGGAAACGAUAGCUAAUACCGCAUAACAAUGGAUGACACAUGUCAUUUAUUUGAAAGGGGCAAUUGCUCCACUACAAGAUGGACCUGCGUUGUAUUAGCUAGUAGGUGAGGUAAUGGCUCACCUAGGCGACGAUACAUAGCCGACCUGAGAGGGUGAUCGGCCACGCUGGGACUGAGACACGGCCCAGACCCCUACGGGAGGCAGCAGUAGGGAAUCUUCGGCAAUGGGGGCAACCCUGACCGAGCAACGCCGCGUGAGUGAAGAAGGUUUUCGGAUCGUAAAGCUCUGUUGUAAGUCAAGAACGGGUGUGAGAGUGGAAAGUUCACACUGUGACGGUAGCUUACCAGAAAGGGACGGCUAACUACGUG
rnacentral:rRNA from 1 species